rnacentral:ribozyme from 11 species
AAAAAAGAAAGAAGAAAACCCAAAAAAUGGAAAAAAAAUGAAGAAA